UACGUAGGGUGCAAGCGUUGUCCGGAAUUAUUGGGCGUAAAGAGCUCGUAGGCGGUUUGUCGCGUCUGCUGUGAAAACCCGAGGCUCAACCUCGGGCCUGCAGUGGGUACGGGCAGACUAGAGUGCGGUAGGGGAGAUUGGAAUUCCCGGUGUAGCGGUGAAAUGCGUAGAUAUCGGAAGGAACACCAGUGGCGAAAGCGGCUUCCUGGUCCAGCACCGACGUUCAGGCACGAA
rnacentral:rRNA from 1 species